rnacentral:lncRNA from 1 species
UUCAGUAUGUGUAUACAAUGUGGCAUGGGCAAAUCAGUUUAAUUAACAUAUCCAUUACCUUACAUAUUUACUGUUUGAUGAAGAGAACAUUUAAAAUCUGCUCUUCUGGCAAUUUUGAAAUAUACGUCCUCUUUGACUGUAAUCACCUUGCUGUGCAGAAGAUCACCAGAACCACUGUUAUCUAACUGAAUACCCUUUUUUCUAAAACCUCCCUUUUCUUCUUCCCACACCUCUCUAGGACUUAUGUCUUUCUCAAUUCUUAAAAUAAUGUUUCUGAUUACAUUUACUUAUUUAUAGCAUACUGAAGUUUUUAUUCAAUAUUUCUUCCUCCCAAGGGGUUUUUAGAGUUUUAAAAAAAACAAAACGCAAAAGAACACCAAUGAAUUUCUUAUAUCCAAAAAAGAUCAGAGGAAUCUCCAGUCAAAAAAGAAGUAGGUUGUACCCCCACUCACAUCCCAGUGUUGGGUGCCAUUCUUUGGGGCUGUGGUUUUGUUUUUAUGUUCUUCCUUUGUGAAGGGUUUCAUAUAGUAUAUGUAUAGCUAUUUAUAAUUUUCAUUCCGUAUGAUUAAAAAAAAAUAUUCAGGUACCAAUUUGAAUACUAGUGGGUAAUUUCUAUCAAGGUCAUAUGAUUGUUUUGUUAAAUAGCAGAGUUUAGUUUUUUGUUAUUGUUGUUUCUUUGUUUUUGCCAUACUGGAAAUUGAACCCAGGGCCUUGCCAUGAUAGUCCUAUGUAGGACUUAAUGUAAUACUUAAGUUUUUAUAUAGUUUUCUACAUAUCUUAUUUUCUUGUUGCACUUUGAUUCUUACCCGCCCCAUUUAAAUCUGGGUUUUUUUUUUCCUCAGUUCUUAUCAUCAGUGUUUUUUGUUGUUGUUGUUUUCUUCUCUCCUUCAGUUCUGUCCUGAAAUUGAGGACCCAGUCUUGA